UAUGGUAAUAGGGCAUCCUAUAAUUAUGAAAGCUAUAUGCGCUGUGAGAGAGCUUUGCGUCCCAUUAGCUAGUUGGAGAGGUAACGGCUCACCAAGGCGAUGAUGGGUAGCCGGCCUGAGAGGGUGAUCGGCCACAAGGGGACUGAGACACGGCCCUUACUCCUACGGGAGGCAGCAGUGGGGAAUAUUGGACAAUGGACCGGGAGUCUGAUCCAGCAAUUCUGUGUGCACGAUGAAGUUUUUCGGAAUGUAAAGUGCUUUCAGUUGGGAAGAAAGAAAUGACGGUACCAACAGAAGAAGUGACGGCUAAAUACGUGCCAGCAGCCGCGGUAAUACGUAUGUCACGAGCGUUAUCCGGAUUUAUUGGGCGUAAAGCGCGUCUAGGUGGUUAUAUAAGUCUGAUGUGAAAAUGCAGGGCUCAACUCUGUAUUGCGUUGGAAACUGUAUAACUAGAGUACUGGAGAGGUAAGCGGAACUACAAGUGUAGAGGUGAAAUUCGUAGAUAUUUGUAGGAAUGCCGAUGGGGAAGCCAGCUUACUGGACAGAUACUGACGCUGAAGCGCGAAAGCGUGGGUAGCAAACAGGAUUAGAUACCCUGGUAGUCCACGCUGUAAACGAUGAUUACUAGGUGUUGGGGGUCGAACCUCAGCGCCCAAGCAAACGCGAUAAGUAAUCCGCCUGGGGAGUACGUACGCAAGUAUGAAACUCAAAGGAAUUGACGGC
rnacentral:rRNA from 1 species